AGCAGCCGCGGUAAUUCCAGCUCCAAUAGCGUAUAUUAAAGUUGUUGCAGUUAAAAAGCUCGUAGUUGAAUUUCGGAAUCGACGGAUUGGUCGCGCCUUCGGUGUGUACUGGUCUUGCCGGUUUCUCCCUUCUGACGAACCACGAUGUCAUUAAUUUGGUGUCGUGGGGAAUCAGGACUGUUACUUUGAAAAAUUAGAGUGUUUAAAGCAGGCAUUAGCUUGAAUACAUUAGCAUGGAAUAAUGAAAUAGGACGUUUGAUCUUAUUUUGUUGGUUUCUAGGAUCGACGUAAUGAUUAAUAGGGAUAGUUGGGGGCAUUAGUAUUCAAUUGUCAGGGGUGAAAUUCUUGGAUUUAUUGAAGCUAACUACUGCGAAAGCAUUUGCCAAGGAUGUUCUCAUUAAUCAAGAACGAAAGUUAGGGGAUCGAAGACGAUCAGAUACCGUCGUAGUCUUAACCAUAAACUAUGCCGACUAGGGAUCGGAUGAUGUUAAUUUUUAAUGUACUCA
rnacentral:rRNA from 1 species